AUUGAACGCUGGCGGCAUGCUUUACACAUGCAAGUCGAACGGUAACAGGCCGCAAGGUGCUGACGAGUGGCGCACGGGUGAGUAAUGCAUCGGAACGUGCCCAGUCUUGGGGGGUAACUACUCGAAAGAGUAGCUAAUACCCCAUACGAUCUAUGGAUGAAAGCGGGGGACCGCAAGGCAUCGCGCGAUUUGAGCGGCCGAUGUCAGAUUAGGUAGUGGGUGGGGUAAAGGCUCACCAAGCCAACGAUCUGUAGCUGGUCUGAGAGGACGACCAGCCACACUGGGACUGAGACACGGCCCAGACUCCUACGGGAGGCAGCAGUGGGGAAUUUUGGACAAUGGGCGCAAGCCUGAUCCAGCAAUGCCGCGUGCAGGAAGAAGGCCUUCGGGUUGUAAACUGCUUUUGUACGGAACGAAACGGCUCUGGUUAAUACCCGGGGCUAAUGACGGUACCGAAAGAAUAAGCACCGGCUAACUACGUG
rnacentral:rRNA from 1 species